CAACAUUAGAUAUCUGCAGUAUCUUGUCUUGUCUAACCGGGUUGUUGUAAUCAUGUAACACGAGCUCGUUAGCAGUAAACAUCUCUCGUGCUACUGCGGGACAGCGCAGGUCGCCCCGGUGUUUGGCCGUUUUUAAGCGUAAUGGUCGUUAGCUUAGCACAAGACACGACACAACGCCAAAUGUGGCUCACAAUGUUGCCUUUUGCUCUUCGGCUAAACGCACACACCUCGCAAUGAAACGCCGUCUCCAAAUUGUAAGCGACCGUCCUUAAAUUCGGCGUUCGUCCGAAAAAAAAGCAAAUGGCAGCAGUUGAAUGAUAAAGCGUAAUUAAUUCAAUAACUUUCAGGCCUGGUACGAGUGUUUCUCUGCUGCUAAUAUGCGGCAACGAGCAGUGUGCACUCACGGUUAGCCAUUUCAAUACAUUGAGCUUUCAAUGUAUUGAAGCUGUUACGCUGCUUGUGCAAAUGUCUUAUCGGCCGAAUUUUAGUUACAUGUAUCAAUUAUUGGAUUGAAACGUCAAAUGUUGUCCGGGGUUUGUGGUUUCGACGAUACCGAGGAAACAAUAAAAAUGGCCAAAUUUGUAAUUGAGUCUGGUGCCACGAGCUCGCAGUGUAAUAGCGAGCGGACAAAAUCGCUAUAAACGAUUAAUCAAAUGCAUUUCCUUUCCAUUGAUUCUCCACACCUUAUUUCUGAUAUAAAGCCAAACAUAAUGGGGUCUUUAUGGCAGAUACGUGCUUGUCAAUGAUACAUUUUAAUGGUCGAUGGAAGACUACAUAGAGAAACAAGUCGCACGCUAAUUAAUCAAGCCCACGUAUUAAUAAAUGGCAUAUGACGUUAAGUGCUAAGUAGUUUACCAAAUAAGGACAAAAGGGGGUUAAUGUUGUAUUUCUGCAGUGACAUAAAAUGUAUCUAUCACUAAAAUAGGCUUGUCGCAUGAAACUUAAUUGUAAAUAUGAGUUUUAAAAAAUGAAUGAUGUAGUGCAGCUUUGCACAUAAUCAACCACAAACAGAUUUGCUGGUUUUAAUAUGAAUAAAAUAAAAAUAAUGCCUUUUUAUAUAGUAGCAUCUUAACAUUGACAUAUACAGUAGUUUAGCACUUCUCCAUUAGAGAUUAUAAAGGUGGACAUUGAAAGCUGAUUUGAAGUAGAUUUAUGUACGUGAAGGCACCAUAAAUCAUACAUCUAAUAACUCAUUUUUGAUACACGUGUAUACUAAGUGACCCACACCGGCUGUGAUUCCGAUGCACAGACCCCGUCUAUCAUCUGUAGGCUUGAUAAGAGACAGCACCGAGAGCUUACAGGUUGCCACCACUGAUGGUAUCGUUUUCAUGAAGGUACCAGCGGAGCCUGGUGGGUGGAGAGUGGAUGCUGGCUCAGUCCCUCCGGCUGCUGUUCUGCAGAGUGGAGAUGAUAUGUUAAUCUUUGCCGGGGCUGGCGGACUCCGCCGCUGCACAUGCCGCAGUUGUGUGUUGUGACCAUCAUUUUGUGUCUGCUAAUGUGGAAGUUCCUCCGUGUUUGAGGGAUGUGGUGAUGCAGAUAAAUGUGUUUUUUUUUUUUUUUGUCACAGAAAAAGUGCACUAAAUCUUCGCUCUAAUUCUCAUGUGAUUGUCUGCCCUCGGUGUCGCACCCCUCCCGAGGCUCAAAAUAAACGCUAAUAAUUGUUUGCCAUAACAGUUUUCACCUCGCCGCUACUCUGUUGACCGUUCAUUAUGCAGGUUAGGGCGCAUUUGGAGCUGAUGACAUUAUCAGAUAUUGAAGGGGGGGUUGAGGAUGCUGUGUAAUAGCUUUCGCCGAAGAUGUGGGCCCCAACGGCUAAAUAAUUCAUCGCCUCCCAGGGAGGAGUGGGGGGGGAUCUCUCCCGCUCCCAUAAUAUUUGGUCCGGGCCAUUAAAUAAUUCAUCCGCCUAUCCGUAAAUUGUUUGUCCAAUCGGUGACCUUUUUCACAAGAUCAAGGGGGAAGCACAAUAAAUAAAUUCAUCAGAGGCCCCGGCGUAACGAACGGGACAAUUACGAGACAGAGAAUCGGGAGUCGCGAAACGGUGCUGGUUGCUAAGUGACAGCGGGAGCUUUUUUUUUUUUUUUUACGCCCACCGUGUUCGCUGUUAACGUCUUGAGUGACUGAAAGGACAGAAAAAACAAUCACGAUAUGGCGAUCUAGACUUGGGGACACAGGACCUGCUUGCGAAGCCCUGCGUCUUUGACAGCCUGUCAGUCACUUAGCGAUGGAAGAGCGUCGAUUAUCUCCAGAGUGUGUCUUUGUUGCGUGUACAGACCGAAUUCUUGGUCUUUAGUGACAUAAACAAGCCAAGUGACUUCUGGUGGGGGCUUGAUCCGAUUCACCCCCCCACCCCACCGUUAAAUCGUCUAAAGGCAGAUUUAGGUGAAAUGGAGGUGGAGCAGUUUUGAUCGUGCGCAAGCAGCUGCUCUCCUCCCUCACUGCAGUCAGCGCAUUGUUCUCGAGCUGCUCCACGGAAAAAGCUUGUGUGAGAUUUGCCGAAAGCCGAGUGUCUUUAUUGCAGUGUUUUACUCGUCUUGUUUGGGUAAUGAGUGGGUGUUUCAGGUGGUGUCUCUCUCUCUCUCUCUCUGAGUCUCUGGGAUUAGCUGUAGCCUUGUGUGUGUGUGUGAGGAGCAGGGUGCCAGCUUUAAUGGGAAGGUGGCCCAGUAAACAGCUCGGCCUCUCAGUGCCCAGCGCCUCCCCAUCGACUCUCCACCUGGUCUUUGAGCACCUAGCUGGCCGCGGACCCCAUCCUCCUCCCCCGUUUGUCUUUUUUUCCUCCCUCUUACCGCUCUACCUCCCACCCUCCCCGUUUUUGCUCAUCUUCCUCUCGUUCUCCUUCCAUCCGUCCCAUGUCCCUGUCUGCCCUUUCCUCCUCCCGCCCCCGCCUCCAUCCUAAAGCAGAGUGGCUAAUGAAGAGCCCCAUUUAGCCGGUGACUUUGGUUCAGUCGGCGCUGCGUAGCGCCGGCCGGCCUCGGGCCGCCGUGACUGGCUGUUGAGGCUCUGACAUCACACGGGGGCCAGCUGUUGAUUUGGCGCUGUCUCCAAGGCUGGCUGGCUUGAUGGGUUGUGGCAGGUAGACUUGUUCUCUCUCUCUCUCUCUCUCUCUCUCUCUCUCUCUCUCUCUCUCUCUGACACCCACUCGCCCUCUCCCUUUUUACACUCCCCUCUCCCCGUGUUCCGCUCUCACUCAGUCGAGCGGGCAAACAGGAGGCAGCAGGCAGCUGCCGAGGAGCGAGCUGGGAGGCGACUCCAGCCUCCUCUCCAGCAAAUAGUGCCUCCUGUACAAUGGAAACUAAACGAUUGAGUAGCAGAAGGGAUGGAGGGCAGAGCUGCCGGGGCAGGUCAGCAGGGGUCAUGAGGGCGUCGGAGGCCCCGGUUGCCGUUCAGAGCAGCUGAAGCAGACAUGGGCAGAGAAGUCUCAAAUGGCACCGGCAGGCUCAGCCUCAUCGACCUCACCAGCAGCAUCCUCCUUCGCCGCGACCACCACUGGCUACGCAACAAGUUCUCCGCAUUCGCCAGCCUCUCCCAGUAAGACUUUGCAAUGAGAAUGUCCGACACAGCCGACACUGAAACAAUGAAGGUUUCCGAAGCCGCCGACGCGCCCCCGCCCCCGAAGGACAACGCCUCCAACUCUGAGAUCGCCGACCAGAGCCAGAGCGGCCGAGACGGACACGGCAGCAACAACAACAGGGACGCACAGGUAAAGAACUGAAUGAGGUUGAUGUCCACACCGACCGGUAUAGACUCGAUCGAAACUUGACUUCAUAUCGUUUUUUAAGCGUUUUCCUUCACCCGUGACAUAGUCAUUUACUCAGGGAGGUUAGAGGAGCAGGAGUGAUUUUCACUCUUUCCUCCACACUCGUCUCCAUGAAAAUUCAGCAACCGUCAACGUCAAGCACAAACUGCCCCGGGGAUCUCCUGUCACCCGCGGCGUUCAAGACGGAUUUUCUCGGCAGCUUCGGCUAUUAUAAUAUUAUUAUUCCCCGGAAAAGCAUAACUGCACGGACUGAAGAUAAUAAUGCGGGGGCUUGACUCUGCCUCGCGAAGGUCGGCCACUACCGAAACCCGAAUGUGGUAAAAGAGCAUUAGGUCGUGGAAACUGGUGAAUCUCAUUUAUCCUCCGCGGGAGACGGUAAAGCGGCGGAUCUACCGGGGGGGGGGGAUUCAGGGCACCUGAGAUCACUUUCAAAUAAACUGCUAAUUAAUUAGGUCUCUUUGUCAUUGCAGUGAAUGUGCUUUGGGACCGUGGGCAAAUUUGCACUUUUUAAUUUGCCCUUUUCAAGUGAAGAGGUUUGCGCUCACAGGUGGCGAAAACGACGCGCAAUGCCUCCCGGGUGAGGAAAUCCAGGAAAAGGGAGAAGGAUUUUGUCUUUUGGUCACAGCCUAAAAAUAGGAUGCAGGCCAAUCUGACCCUCGUGGUUGGAAGGGAGAAGUCAGAGCGAGGGAGACGGGCAGGCAGAUAAUCUGGAGCUCAAAUCCUGGCUUAUCUACCGACUUCCUGCGUCUACGUUACCCCCGGGCGAGGAACAGAAUGACAGCAGUAUGGGGGGGAGGGAGGGGGAGAGAUGGGACGAGGGAUCAAGGAGAAGAGGAAGGUGAGAAAGCAGGAGGGGACGCGGUAUUGAGGAAUGAAGGGGGAGGGAAGAAUGAAGCAUGAAGGUGGCAGUCAUUUUAAAGGUGCAUCCAUCCAGAACAGCAGGAGCAGAAAGGGAGCUUACCUUUACACUACAUUACGUUUGUUGGAUGAAAUAACACAAUCCUCCUAUUGGAAAUAUAUAAAGUUGACUUCGUAAGCAAUAAAACGCACCAUUGCUCAAUUCAAUACACUCAGGCGUUUUGCUGCUGCAGCCUUACUUAGUCUGGUAUGACCAGUAGAUUAAAGGGGCUAAUGAUAGCAGAUAUUGACGUUUAAAUGACUACACCGAGCUGGCUUUACGGCACCCGCGGGGCUGUGACACUACGGUUUGGCCUAUCGAUGUCGUCUUUGAGAGGAACAGUUUGACAAUGCACCGGGAGCUGCUCCGCGAAGCUACAGCCAGCUCCCGAUUAGCUUAGCAUAAAGUCUGAGAGACAUUAGAUUGGUGUCGAUCUUCUUAUCAAGCAAAUUGAGGCGAUAUUCAGAAACGAUUGGACCGUAAUUUCCACUUGUGGCAACAGUGGCUGCUGUUUAGCAAAAACGGCAUCUCCCCCAUUUUAGAAAACAAAUAAGAUUUGAGUUUUUGGUCAAACUUUACACCAAGCAAGUCGCCCUUUUCCUCAAUUCUCACCCCCUAAAGCUAAAUCUCUGUCCCUCUCCUUUGAACAUCUCACCUUAAAUCGACUUCGCAUGCACCCCUGUCUCCUCCUCCUCAUGUUUUUCGUGACCUCUUCAAAUGUAGACCUCUUCUUCUGCCCCUUUUCCCUCAAAACUCACCCUCCGCGGUCACACGGGGAUAUACGCCGCAGAGACACGCCGAUGCUCCUGACCUCUUCCCACUCGUCAUUUUUCGCAGUGGCGGAGGAGCCGAAGUUA